GAUGAACGCUGGCGGCGUGCCUAAUACAUGCAAGUCGAGCGAACAGAUGAGGAGCUUGCUCCUCUGACGUUAGCGGCGGACGGGUGAGUAACACGUGGAUAACCUACCUAUAAGACUGGGAUAACUUCGGGAAACCGGAGCUAAUACCGGAUAAUAUAUUGAACCGCAUGGUUCAAUAGUGAAAGACGGUUUUGCUGUCACUUAUAGAUGGAUCCGCGCCGCAUUAGCUAGUUGGUAAGGUAACAGCUUACCAAGGCAACGAUGCGUAGCCGACCUGAGAGGGUGAUCGGCCACACUGGAACUGAGACACGGUCCAGACUCCUACGGGAGGCAGCAGUAGGGAAUCUUCCGCAAUGGGCGAAAGCCUGACGGAGCAAUGCCGCGUGAGUGAUGAAGGUCUUCGGAUCGUAAAACUCUGUUAUUAGGGAAGAACAAAUGUGUAAGUAACUAUGCACGUCUUGACGGUACCUAAUCAGAAAGCCACGGCUAACUACGUG
rnacentral:rRNA from 1 species